rnacentral:rRNA from 1 species
GGAGGCGUCGAGCGGCGGACGGGUGAGUAAUGCAUAGGAAUCUGCCCGGUAGUGGGGGAUAACCUGGGGAAACUCAGGCUAAUACCGCAUACGUCCUACGGGAGAAAGCAGGGGCUCUUCGGACCUUGCGCUAUCGGAUGAGCCUAUGUCGGAUUAGCUGGUUGGUGAGGUAACGGCUCACCAAGGCGACGAUCCGUAGCUGGUCUGAGAGGAUGAUCAGCCACAUCGGGACUGAGACACGGCCCGAACUCCUACGGGAGGCAGCAGUGGGGAAUAUUGGACAAUGGGCGCAAGCCUGAUCCAGCCAUGCCGCGUGUGUGAAGAAGGCCCUCGGGUUGUAAAGCACUUUCAGUGGGGAAGAAAUCCUCGGGGCUAAUACCCUCGAGGGAGGACAUCACCCACAGAAGAAGCACCGGCUAACUCCGUGCCAGCAGCCGCGGUAAUACGGAGGGUGCGAGCGUUAAUCGGAAUUACUGGGCGUAAAGCGCGCGUAGGCGGCGUGAUAAGCCGGUUGUGAAAGCCCCGGGCUCAACCUGGGAACGGCAUCCGGAACUGUCAGGCUAGAGUGCAGGAGAGGAAGGUAGAAUUCCCGGUGUAGCGGUGAAAUGCGUAGAGAUCGGGAGGAAUACCAGUGGCGAAGGCGGCCUUCUGGACUGACACUGACGCUGAGGUGCGAAAGCGUGGGUAGCAAACAGGAUUAGAUACCCUGGUAGUCCACGCCGUAAACGAUGUCGACUAGCCGUUGGGGUCCUUGAGACCUUUGUGGCGCAGUUAACGCGAUAAGUCGACCGCCUGGGGAGUACGGCCGCAAGGUUAAAACUCAAAUGAAUUGACGGGGGCCCGCACAAGCGGUGGAGCAUGUGGUUUAAUUCGAUGCAACGCGAAGAACCUUACCUACUCUUGACAUCGUGCGAACUUGGUAGAGAUACCUUGGUGCCUUCGGGAACGCACAGACAGGUGCUGCAUGGCCGUCGUCAGCUCGUGUUGUGAAAUGUUGGGUUAAGUCCCGUAACGAGCGCAACCCUUGUCCCUAUUUGCCAGCGAUUCGGUCGGGAACUCUAGGGAGACUGCCGGUGACAAACCGGAGGAAGGUGGGGACGACGUCAGGUCAUCAUGGCCCUUACGAGUAGGGCUACACACGUGCUACAAUGGCCGGUACAAAGGGUUGCGAAGCCGCGAGGUGGAGCCAAUCCCGAAAAGCCGGUCUCAGUCCGGAUCGGAGUCUGCAACUCGACUCCGUGAAGUCGGAAUCGCUAGUAAUCGUGAAUCAGAAUGUCACGGUGAAUACGUUCCCGGGCCUUGUACACACCGCCCGUCACACCAUGGGAGUGGACUGCAC